UGUGUACAAAAGACUGUUAAUUAUUUGUUUUCAGCCCUCUAGUUUAGGUUUUCUUCAUCAAAGUAUUUUAGAUGCAGUAUUUUAUUUCAGCCACUGGGUGGCUUCAUGUUCAUUUUGUUACAUCUUGUUUAUGGAUCUGAGUAGAGUGAUGCGGCUCUCAAGGCUGACUUCGUUCAUAACCUCUUUCUAUUGUGUGCGUCCAUUGAAUGAAACCACACACACACACACACACACAUGUGCCCUUAUAUGUAUGGCUGAACCUCCAGAGCUAAUUAAAAACAAGUAAAGCUCAA